rnacentral:rRNA from 1 species
UACGUAGGGUGCGAGCGUUGUCCGGAAUUAUUGGGCGUAAAGAGCGUGUAGGCGGCCAGGUAGGUCUGCUGUGAAACUCGAGGCUUAACCUCGAGCUGUCGGCGGAAACCAUCUGGCUAGAGUCCGGAAGAGGAGAAUGGAAUUCCCGGUGUAGCGGUGAAAUGCGCAGAUAAUCGGGAGGAACACCAAUUGCGAAGGCAGCUCGCUGGGA